rnacentral:rRNA from 1 species
AUGCCAUUCUUCCAUGGUCGACAUGAGAUUGUGCUCGGGUUAGGAUCCGCGCUUCUCUACCUACAUCAGGAGUGGGAGCAGUGCAUCCUGCAUAGGGACGUCAAGCCAAGCAACAUCAUGCUGGAUGCGUCCUUCAACACCAAGCUCGGCGACUUCGGUCUCGCCAGGCUGGUCAAACACAGCCGAGGUUCGCUCACCACGGCACACACCUGCACAAUGGGAUACAUGGAUCCAGAAUGCAUGAUCACUGGCAGGGCCAACGCCGAGUCAGAUAUUUACAGCUUCGGCGUUGUCCUCUUGGAGAUCGCCUGCGGCAGACGGCCCAUGGUGGUGGUUCAACAACAAGAAGAAGAUGAUGAUGAUGAAGAUGUGGUCCACCUGGCUCAGUGGGUCUGGAGCUCGUAUGGAAGAGGGAAGAUUCUGGACGUCACCGACACACGGCUGGGAGAAGAAUUCGAUGCUCGGGAGAUGGAGUGUGUGCUGAUCGUUGGGCUUUGGUGUGCUCAGCUCGAUUUGAAGCUGAGACUGUCUGUCAUGCAUGCUCUCAACGUGCUGCGGUUUGAGGCGCCCCUGCCUCCCCUCCCCUCAAGGAUGCCGGCUGCAAGCUACAUGCCACCAAUUAGUGGUACAGGGAGCUGCACAUCUUCAUCGACGGUAACACGCCACAUCAACGACAUCAUGUGUACAUCUUUGGUGGCAGCAACGGCGUGGCUGCCACUCAGUCGAGCUUGA